rnacentral:rRNA from 1 species
CCUACGGGUGGCAGCAGUGGGGAAUAUUGCACAAUGGGCGCAAGCCUGAUGCAGCCAUGCCGCGUGUGUGAAGAAGGCCUUCGGGUUGUAAAGCACUUUCAGCGGGGAGGAAGGCGUUAAGGUUAAUAACCUUGGCGAUUGACGUUACCCGCAGAAGAAGCACCGGCUAACUCCGUGCCAGCAGCCGCGGUAAUACGGAGGGUGCAAGCGUUAACCGGAAUUACUGGGCGUAAAGCGCACGCAGGCGGUCUGUCAAGUCGGAUGUGAAAUCCCCGGGCUCAACCUGGGAACUGCAUUCGAAACUGGCAGGCUAGAGUCUUGUAGAGGGGGGUAGAAUUCCAGGUGUAGCGGUGAAAUGCGUAGAGAUCUGGAGGAAUACCGGUGGCGAAGGCGGCCCCCUGGACAAAGACUGACGCGCAGGUGCGAAAGCGUGGGGAGCAAACAGGAUUAGAUACCCGAGUAGUC